CCGGCAAACGGGUGCGGAACACGUACACAACCUUCCUUUAAGUGGGGAUAGCCCAGAGAAAUUUGGAUUAAUACCCCGUAAUAUUUUCAAGUGGCAUCAUUUGGGAAUUAAAGCUUUCGGGCGCUUAGAGAUGGGUGUGCGUCUGAUUAGGUAGUUGGUAGGGGUAAUGGCCCACCAAGCCUUCGAUCAGUAACUGGUGUGAGAGCACGACCAGUCACACGGGCACUGAGACACGGGCCCG
rnacentral:rRNA from 1 species